AUCUUGCCACGUGGCUUUCUUCAGCCUGGCGACUUAAAUCCUGUUCAGCACCUAAAAAGAAUUCCUUUUUCUGGCUGCUCUCUGCUCUUCCAAGGGAAAAUCCAGAGCCACUUCCGUGCCUGCUGGAAUUUGAGGGCUGCAGUGCUUGGCCUUGGAUCCCUAUUUCCUUUGGGAAUAGAACAUCAAACUGAUGCAGAACUUCAAAACAAAGCUGAUGUUUUGCUAAACCCUAUUUGUUUUCCUUUCUAUUAAUCGUCAAUUAAUAGAAUUUGCUAAUUUGCACUGACUGGGAGACCUGUUGCCAAGCCCAAAAACUUUGUGCUGGCGAAUAAAAGCGUAGGGAGUUCAGGUGGAGCGUUCAUUCCCGUGCCUGUAAUGUGGGAAAAAAAUAUUUUAAAAAUCUGAAAUUUUAGGUACAAAAUCCUCUCUGGGGAUAAAGGCUCAGGGGGGAGACGGGGCUGAGGAUUUUGGGUGUGGAAAAGUGAAUUUAGGGAGGUUCUGCUGGAUGGGGUCUGGUGCCAUUUAUCUGCCUGGAGCAGUGGGGUGACAAUUUCUUUGUCCCAAGGUUGUUUAAAUCCUGCAGAGGAUUUUUUGAGGAGCUCCAGAGACUCAGCAAUGUCUCGGCUUGGUGAUGCUGCUGUGGGGAGGUGAAUUCAAUUGGGAAUUAAAUUGGGAAUUAAAAUUGGGAAUCUCCUUUAAAACCCCAGGAAAAAGGAGCUUGGGAGGCUCUCGGCCUCAAGGAUCCCUGUGGGAUUUGAUGAUCCUUAGGGAUCCCUCCCAGCCUGAGGGUUUCUGUGGUGUGGUUGGAGGAUUUUUGGGGGAGUUUUGGGGGUUUUUGGGGGGGUUUUGGGGGUUUUUGGGAGUCUGGCAGCUCCUGCAGAGCCGUUCACCUCCCCUGCAGCAUCCCCCAGGCUCCCGAGGAGUGGGAAAGGAUGGGAAGGUGAGGAAGAGGGUUUGAGGUGUGCUUGUGACACGAGGCUGCAGCCAGGAGCUCCUGAGCUCCCAGAGUUGUUCCAGUCCUUCCCUGCAGGCUUCCAGACAUCCUAAAAAAAA